UACGUAGGCAGCGAGCGUUGUUCGAAGUUACUGGGCGUAAAGGGUGUGUAGGCGGUUGUUUAAGUUUGGUGUGAAAUCUCCCGGCUCAACUGGGAGGGUGCGCCGAAUACUGAAUGACUUGGAGUGCGGGAGAGGAGAGUGGAAUUCCUGGUGUAGCGGUGAAAUGCGUAGAUAUCCGGAGGAACACCAGUGGCGAAGGCGACUUCCUGGCCUGUUCUUGACGCUGAGGCGCGAAAGCUGGGGGAGCAAACGGGG
rnacentral:rRNA from 1 species